GCGCGGGUGCUGGAACUAGGUAGACAGUGCAGACUUAAAAUCUGUUGGCCCAAAAGGCCGUGCGGGUUCGAUCCCCGCCCCGCGCA
rnacentral:tRNA from 1 species